rnacentral:lncRNA from 1 species
GCUCUUGGCUGCAGACCACCGCUGAAGGCCCUUGGCUGCAGACCACCGCUGAAGGCCCUUGGCUGCAGACCACCGCUGAAGGCCCCGGGCUGAGAGGCGUCGCUGGAGGCCCCGGGCUGAGAGGCGUCGCUGGAGGCCCCGGGCUGAGAGGCGUCGCUGGAGGCCCCGGGCUGAGAGGCGUCGCUGGAGGCCCCGGGCUGAGAGGCGUCGCUGGAGGCCCCGGGCUGAGGGGCGUCGCUGGAGGCCCCGGGCUGAGGGGCGUCGCUAGAGGCUCCUGACUGGGGAGCGUCGCUGAAGGCUCCGGGCUGAGGAGCGUCGCUGGAGGCUCCUGACUGGGGAGCGUCGCUGGAGGCUCCUGACUGGGGAGCGUCGCUGGAGGCUCCUGACUGGGGAGCGUCGCUGGAGGCUCCGGGCUGAGGAGCGUCACUGGAGGCCUCCUGCGUGGAGCUGGGACCGGUCUCCCCGGACUGGGGAGACUUACAGGAGACUGGGUGCGCAGCGCAGGCACGGGGCACAUUGGGCCGUGGAGGUGAACCGGCGGUCUGGAGCUCAGGGCUGGCACACCCCGUCCUGGCUGAAUGGUCACUGUAGCCCGGCACGGGCGGAGCGCUGGCACAGGGCGAACUGGGCUGUGCUGGAGAGUGAGGGCUGCCGUGCGUAGAGCAGGCGCAGGGUAAGCUGGACCGAGGAGACGUACUGGUGGCCAGAUGCGCUGCGCCGGCGCACUUCUCCCUGGCUGCCGGCCAACUCUCGCCCGGCAACGCUGCGGAGCCCACACUGACCGCACCGGACUGUGCGUGCGUGUGGGCGAUACCAUGCGCAUUUCCGCAUAGCUCGGCGCUCUCCUCGUCACCCGCUCCCCACGGUAAGCACGGGGAGUUGGCUCAGGACUCCACCCUGACUCUGCCCAACUCCCCGUGUUGGGCAGAGUGCCUCUCGCACUUGCCUCUUGGCUUAUACAGCGCCUCAUAGUAGCGCCGCUCUGCCUUCGCUGCCUCCAGUUCCUCCUUCGGUCGACGAUACUCUCCAGCCUGCCUCCAGGGUCCUUUCCCGUCUAAAAUCUCCUCCCAUGUCCACGACUCCAAAUACUUCUCCUGCUCCUUACCCCGCUGUUUGGUCUUCUUUCGGUGGGUGGUUCUGUCAUAUAAUAAAAAGGGAAUUAUUUGUAUGCUUACUCAGCUGUGCUUCACAAGUAAUACAACAACGGAUCUAUUACCGGUGUGAUCAUAUAGCCAGGUUUUCUCCAGAUGUUACGCUUGGUAUUCAGGCCAAAGAGUUCCAUCUUCAUUUCAUCAGACCAGAGAAUGGUCUGAGAGUCCUUUAGGUGCCUUUUGGCUAACUCCAAGCGGGCUGUCAAGUGCCUUUUACUGAGGAGUGGCUUCCUUCUGGCCACUCUACCAUACAGGCCUGAUUGGUGGAGUGCUGCAAAGGUGGUUGUCUUACUGGAAGGUUCUCCCAUCCCCACAGAGGAACACUGGAGCUCUGUCAGAGUGACCAUCGGGUUCUUGGUCACCUCCAUGAUCAAGGCCCUUCUACCCCGAUUGCUCAGUUUUGCUGGCAGUCAGCUCUGGGAAGAGUCUUGGUGGUUCCAAACUUCUUCCAUUUAAGCAUGAUGGAAGCCACUGUGUUCUUGGGAACCUUCAAUACUUCAGAAAUGUUUUGCUAAACUUCCCCAGAUCUGUGCCUCGACACAAUCCAGUCUCGGAGCUCUACGGACAAUUUCCUCGACCUCAUGGCUUGGUUUUUGCCCUGACAAGCACCUUCAACUGUGUGACAUUCUAUAGACAGGUUUGUGCCUUUCCAAAUAAUGUCCAAUAAAUUGAAUUUAUCCCAGGUGGACUCCAAUCAAGUUCUCAAAACACCUCAAUGAUGAUCAAUGGACCUGAAUACUUGUGUAAAUUAGGUAUCUGUUUUUUAUUUUUAAUACAUUUGCAAACAUUCUAAAAACCUAUUUUUGCUUUGUCAUUAUGGGUAUUGUGUGUAGAUUGAUGAGGAUUUUUUAUUUAUUUAAUCCAUUUUAGAAUAAGGCUGUAAUGUAACAAAAAUGUGUAAAAAGGGAAGGGGUCUGAAUACUUUCCAAAUGCACUGUAUAUCCUAUAAUUAAUUACAUUGUUUCCAAUUGGCCUAGUUAUCUCUCUCUCAUGUCAUUCAUGAGGUAAUCUCAGUGUAAACUAGUAUGUCAUGUCUACCCAUUUUGUAGAAUAAUUGAUGACAUCUUGACAUCUUUAUGAAUUCAUGAAUUUAUGCUGUACCCCUUAGGGCAGGGAUCAUCAACUAGAUUCAGCCGCGGGCCGAUCUUUUCUUGAGAGGAAGGUCGGGGGGCCGGAUCAUAAUUACAAAUCAUUUGUAGCCUGCAAAUUGAAUGCAAGAAGCACAAACAGAUAUAAUAUUUGACUAAAACGUAAUAAUUUGAAACCUUUGCAUAUGAUCACGUGUCUCUAUUAUAGGUGGAAAUACUUGGGAACAGAUUUCCCAAAUUAAAAUCACUUGGAGCUGAUUUCCUGUUUUUUUUACAGUUUAUGUGCAACAAUGGGAAAAAAUGUAUUUUUUUAUGGCUCAGAAAACUUGGGGGCGCAAAUAAAACAACCAGUUGGGGAACCCUGCCUUAGGAGGUUUUCUGAUCAGCUUACACCGCGUAAUUUUUAAGAGACAAAUGCCUGCUGUAGUUGAAAGAGGAAACUGAAGGUAUUUCAGGAUGUGAAAGGUUAUAGCUGACUGAGCACUCAGUGAGGUCUCACGUAAUGACUCAGGUCAUUUACCCUGUUCUAACUUUUUUUACCUUUAACUAGGUAAGUCAGUUAAGAACAAAUUCUUAUUUACAACGACGGCCUACCUUAAUGGACAGACAGACAACAAUUUUCUUUUCUCAAGUGUAUUUUCAAGUUUGUUGCAAUUUUUUGUGCAUUUAAACAAAUACAUUGAAAAACAAGCAUCUUGAAAACUGCUCUAGUCUGCCUCUAGUCAUUUCCCUCAUACAUUAAUGGAUGGCCUUGAGAUAUUCCUGCAUUAGCAGGAACUUGCAUUAGCAGGCACUUACAAAUCUACAUUUUGCUUUGUGUAUAUUCAGCAAACAUUUUGUAACAUUUUGUAACACCCACCAAAUCCUGUUCAACAUUCACUCCCUCAAAUUUCCCACCCCAAAAUACUUUCAGUUUCUCCUCUUUCUUCCUGAGAACAAUAUCUUUAAAUACAUCAAAAACUUUGAUACAGUUUUUUACUUGGACAACAUUGCAGUUGGCCAAGCCUAUAAUCUACUGUAAAACACAAUGACAGCACAUUGGGCUGUGGUCUGUCUACAAUAUCUGGAUCAUCUAAAGGAAAAUAAAAAGCAUGGAGUACUACAUAAGGCAUCGCCUGGAAUAAUGUCCUAUCACUGAAGCCAUGACCCAAUGGAGAUCCUUGCUAUUUCUGGUCUCAGAAGAAGAGGUGACAGAAUGCUGGAAUGUGACCUACAGCUUCCUGAGGAGUGUGGACUGGGACUCUGCCAAUGCAGAGGGGAGAGAAAUGCUUCCCACUAGGCUGUCAAAUGUCCCUGGUGGUGUGACUAAUGUUAAGGUGUCUGUAUGAAGAGAUGCAUACUUCCUCCUGGGUUGUGAUUAAAGUAUGGGACUCGUGUUAAUGAGUGUUAGCGCUGUGACCAUUUUUUCUUUGUCUGAAGAAAGACAAUUCCCCUGUGCAACGCUCAAGAGACAUCUCUAGUUACGGUACCACCAUGGCAGUCAGGCCUAUUCUAUAUGUCAGUGGGUCAUCAUAACUAAUUAUCUGAAUACAGUGCAAUUGAGCGGACACCAUGACAAUCCAAACUCAAACCAUAUCCGUUCCAGAGCCACAACUCAUCACCAUCUUCCCUGUCUAUCUACUCUGACCUACCAGUCCGCACCUUCCCUGAGGUGCGUUGGAAAGGUGCAUCUUUGCUAUGGGUGUAUGCCGUGCGCCUACAGGGCUCUACUAUGGAGGCCUGUGUCUCUCUCACGUCAGGGCUAGGCACGGAGCAGAGGAGUCAUUUCCAUUUCCUCCCACUUGGCUAAUUACAGUCUGCCUGCUCUGCCAGCCAUUCUUCUUCCCUCUCAUGUCAUAACAGAAACCUGUGCAGUGGAAAACCCCUGAUUACCCUGCAUAGAUUAGAUAGAGGCGUUAAUACAGUAAGUCAAGCCUCGCAGGGUGGUAUAUGUUUUAACAGAGGGAGAAGCGUCGGGAGUUGAUGUUCAUCUUGGUGAGGCCAAGGUGUUUGAGGGGGGUGGAGAGGGCGAAGGCAGCCUUCAUGGGGAUGUCACAGAGCAGGAUAUGUCCCUUGAGUGUUCAGUCAGUGGGCUUGCCAGUUCUGGAUUGGAGUGGACUGGUGAUCCUUACUGUAU